AACGAACGCUGGCGGCAGGCCUAACACAUGCAAGUCGAACGGUUGUAGCAAUACAGCCGUGGCGCACGGGUGAGUAACGCGUGGGAAUCUGCCCAGUAGUACGGAAUAACAGUUGGAAACGACUGACAAUACCGUAUACGCCCUUCGGGGGAAAGUGUUUCGCUAUUGGAUGAGCCCGCGUCAGAUUAGCUAGUUGGUGGGGUAAUGGCCUACCAAGGCGACGAUCUGUAGCUGUUCUGAGAGGAAGACCAGCCACACUGGAACUGAUACACGGUCCAGACUCCUACGGGAGGCAGCAGUGGGGAAUAUUGGACAAUGGGCGAAAGCCUGAUCCAGCCAUGCCGCGUGAGUGAUGAAGGCCUUAGGGUUGUAAAGCUCUUUUGGCGGGGAAGAUAAUGACGGUACCCGCAGAAUAAGUUCCGGCUAACUUCGUGCCAGCCGCCGCGGUAA
rnacentral:rRNA from 1 species